rnacentral:rRNA from 1 species
CCUACGGGAGGCAGCAGUAGGGAAUCUUCCGCAAUGGGCGAAAGCCUGACGGAGCAACGCCGCGUGAGUGAUGAAGGUUUUCGGAUCGUAAAGCUCUGUUGCCAGGGAAGAACGCUUGGGAGAGUAACUGCUCUCAAGGUGACGUACCG